UUACGAUUUUAAAAAAAAAGAAACAUUGUCUUGCUAAGCUAUAAUUGAAUAUUUUGUAUGAUCUAAGAAUUAUUGUUAGAGCUGUGAGAACCAGUUCUAGUACUUCAAUGAGCUUCUACUAUAGUUGUUGUCCAUAUUAAACAUUGUAUCGGAUUCAAUCUCUCCGGGAAACACCAAGCCGAGCGGACCAUGAAUGAGAGCAUACAGACUUUCGAUUCUGUUCAUUACGAAAAAUAUUAGGUAGUACAUAGCCGACAAAUCACUUACCGGUAGGAUAUGCCAAUAUCGACAAGCGUAUGGGAUGGUGCAAAAACGGUAAUAUUUCAAAGUUGGCUUCAAUAAUAGUCGACAAAAGCUCUAAGUUUAAAAGACGAAGUUUAAUAACAUUUGUGAUGGUUUGCCUUUUUUACAUCAAGAGAAAUUUCAUUAUGCAUAUAAAACAAAAGCAUAUUUGAGUUAAUCAAAAUAACCAAUUAUUGCUUAGAACCAAAGAAACCCCGAUUUACGCAAUUAACUUAAAUAAAAUUAUUUUGCAAGGAAUAUUCGACUUUCGAAUGGAAGUAUUUUAACUUCGACGAACAUUGAAAUGACAUUGCAAGCAUUUCCGUUCAAAUUGUUCAAUAUUUUAUAAAAGUCAGAAGUUAAGAUUAGAACUAAUAUAUUGACUACUUUUUUUUGACUACUUCAACUUACCGGAACUAGACUACUCCGACAUUGCAAAACGUGAGAUUGGUUUAUCAAAUAUUUACCACUUUAAUAUCAGUUAUUUUCAAAAUAUCUUUUACUUUAUUUGCAAUUGCUAAAAGCUAGUUUUCGAAAUGAAAUUCAUAAUUGGAAGUUAGAGCUUAAUAUCUAGUCCGUCACUGAGUUCUUCAUGAAGUGUCGUACAUUUUGAGAGAUAAAGAAUAUGAAAUUUGUCAUUUUUGUUGCUUGUUUGCCCAAAUUAGCAUUUUAUUGACGGUAAAGGAUAAUGACAUAAUAAAAAAGAGGGAUGAGAUAGAAGCGGAAGUAGUAUUGCUCGGCAUAUUAAUAUGAUUUUUCAAGAGUUAAGACGGUUUAAGGUAUAUAACUUCAGCUAAGCACAUUAAAUUCACCAGGAAUUAAGCAGAACUACAAGAAGGAAUUCUUUAAGAAAUUUUCGAUAAGGUGACUUUUACCAAUAUAUUUUCUGAAAUCACAUAUUCAAAUUUGUCUAAAAAAAGAAUAACAGCAAAAAAAGCAUACAUUGUACUGUCCACCAAUAUUACUAAAGAAAGUAUGAGCAGAAACAAUCAUGAAUUGAUCCAACAUCGUCAAGACAUUGCAUAAAAGCAAUAGAAUAUAAAAUUGAACAUAAAAAACCUUUUCAUACUGACAAUAAAGUAUCAAAUAAUGUAGACGGAAAAGAUACAAUACCAAAACUUUUUGAAAGGGUUCAAAAAAAUUGAGUAAAUACUUCUAUUUAACCAUUAACCCAUUCAAUUCGAUUUUAAGCUGGAGUCACAGAUAAAAUAAGUAUGUGAUUACAUAUUCUGUUUGAACACACUCAUGUCGCAUGUUCUGUAAAAAAGGUUGAAAUAUAAAAUGAUAGUAUUUUGAGUGAUCAUUGGACAUUAAUGCUAACUUACUCUUUAACUUAAUUC
rnacentral:lncRNA from 1 species